UACAGAGGUCCCAAGCGUUGUUCGGAUUCACUGGGCGUAAAGGGCGCGUAGGCGGCCAUCUAAGUCAGACGUGAAAUCCCCCGGCUUAACCUGGGAACUGCGUCUGAUACUGGACGGCUCGAGUUUGGGAGAGGGAUGCAGAAUUCCAGGUGUAGCGGUGAAAUGCGUAGAUAUCUGGAGGAAUACCGGUGGCGAAGGCGGCAUCCUGGACUAACACUGACGCUGAGGCGCGAAAGCUAGGGGAGCAAACGGG
rnacentral:rRNA from 1 species